rnacentral:lncRNA from 1 species
CGGCGGGGGCGGCGGGAAGACCUGGUUACUUAAAGGUGUGCGCUGCCACCACCCAGCUCUAGCGGACAGUUUUACUGUUCAUUAUCAGUACCUAUGAUGCGCUGUGCGUCGCCGAAUGCUCGUUUUCUACAGCUGGCAGCCAGUGUGGCGUUGACUCCAGGAGCAACACAAACACUCGGUUACUACCAAGUUAUUUUGGCUGCUGUGCCACGAGACAAUAGCAGGCGUUAUGUAUCUGGGCUUGGGCUAUGUUGUGGGUUCUUCUUUCUUCCACCCUUUUCAACCGGUUUCCACCUUUCCAAUCCCCUAACUCUGGACAGGAGAGAAAAAAGAGAGAGAGGGGAAAGGGGGCCAUGUUAUUGCUAGACUACCUCCUGCUGAUUAGGGGUGUUGAGCUCCUUGGGUCCAGUUUGAUCUUUGCUGUCCAGAAAUCUAAUUUCCUGUUGUUUCUUCUUUGUGCAUGACUACUUAACAAACUGAGACCAGCGGGGGUACUUUUGUGGUUUUUUUUUUUAAAAGAAAGCAAAAUUCCAAAAUCGUCCCUAGGGCUUUAUUUUUUGGGACCACCAUCAUUUAUGUGGUGUGUUCUUUUCCCUUUAUUUCCAGGCAGGGUCUCAUUGUAUAGUUCUGGCUGGCCUGGAACUUGCCAGGUACAUCAGGCUGACCUGGAACCCAGAGAUCUCCUUGCCAUUGCUUUCUGAUUGAAGGCAUGAGCCACCACAGUGCAAUGCCUGCAUUUUUCUGGUUUUUUGUUUUUGUUUUUGUUUUUUUUUUUUUUUAUAGCAAAUCAUGGUAUCUCGUGUUUCUUGUCAUCCUGAGUCAAUGUUAAAUCGUGCCCAGGUGACAGUAUUAGGCUUCUUUUCUUUUGAUGCAGAGAAUUGAACCCUAAAGAAGCAU